AUGCUCAGGCUGAAAGGUCUAACAAGUGGUAUCAGAGCCUCGUUAACCUGCACCCUGAGCAUUUCCUGUGAGCAGCCCAAGUCGGUAGCAGCAACUGCUUUGUCUGCCUCUGGUUACCUUCCUCCCUCCGGACUGUCAGCAGUAGCUCGUCUUCAUCAGCCUCCUCUUCACGCAACAGCCCCCCUGCAGAGAGCCAUGUCUGCAGGUCGCUCUCAGCACACGGCUACCUCGAGCAUGCGGCGCCGGCAGGAUGCCGAGCGCGCCGUGGCAGAGGAGCGUGAGCGAGCAGCUGCGGCGGCGGCAAGGGUGUCGAGGCUGGCUGCAGCGGAGCUGGCAGCAGCCAGAGCGGAGGUAGAAGCAGCCAGGGCGGAGGUAGAAGCAACAGCAGCAGCAGAAGCAGCCUGUGAGGCUACGGCGGAUGCCAAGGCACUCCGCGGCAGCCCCGGCAGCUCCGUCAGCUCCGCGCCUGCGGACGACGGCGCCGACGCAGAUCGUGCCAAAGUGGCGCAGGAGCGGACGGCGCAGUGGGCAGCCGAGCACGCCCGCGCUCCAGGUGGAGGCGCGCACCGCGACGGCGGCUGCAACGACCAGGACCGCGGCCUCUACGAGGUCCGGACUGUGGUCAGGGAUGUUGGUUCCAGUGUUGGGUGGCCUACCCUCACUAAAACCAACUACGUCGAGUGGGCCGGGAUCAUGAAGGUCAGGCUCCAGGUGCGGCGCAUGUGGGAGGCAGUCCAGGACAGCAACGUCGACCACCUAGAGGAUCGACGGGCGCUGGACGCCCUCAUCGCCGCAGUCCCGCCCGAGAUGCAGUUCUCGCUUUCCAACAAGCGGACUGCCAAGGAGGCUUGGGACGCCAUCGCCGCAGCACGCAUCGGCAGCGACCGUGCUCGCAAGUCCACCCUGCAGGCACUUCGUAAGGAGUGGGAGAACCUGGGCUUCAAGCCAGGUGAGGACGUUGAUGACUUUGCUCUCCGUCUCAACACUCUGCUGCAGAAGAUGGUGAAGUUUGGCGAUGCCACCUACACCGAGGAGAGAGCUGUCGAGAAGCUUUUUCGGUGCAUUCCCGAGAAGUACAAGCAGAUGGCUCGCUCAAUCGAGUCGUUGCUGGACCUCUCCACGAUGACGAUCGAGGAGGCGAUAGGCCGUCUCAAGGUCAUCGACACCGACGAGCCACGGCCCCCCUCGGGGCCCAUCACCACCAGCGGGAAGCUGCUCCUAACUCGGGAGCAGUGGGAUCCCAGCCUUGGUGACAGGAAGAAGGGGGAGCCUUCCUCCUCGACGGGCGGCCGCAAGCGUGGCAAGCAGCGUAAGGCGCGAAGAGGCCCCCCGGGCAGGGCACAAGGACGUGCCGAAGGUGACGCCCGCGGAGGCGCCAAGGACGGCGCCGCUGGCAAGCCCAAGCCGGCACAAGACAACAGUUGCCACAACUAUGGCCGGUUUGGCCAUUGGGCCAAUGAGUGUCGGCAACCACGACAAGGCCAGGUUCACGUCGCACAGGCGAAGGAGGAGGAGACGGCUCUGUUCAUGGCGCAUGCAAGCAUUGAGCUACCCUCGGCGACUCCGGUCGCAAAGGCUUUCAUCCACCUCGAUGAGCCAAAAGCACACGCUCUUCUCGGCGAUGGCUCCGGGAAGGACAAGACUACGGGGUGGUGCCUCGACACAGGCGCCACCCACCACAUGACCAGUUGA
rnacentral:rRNA from 1 species